rnacentral:rRNA from 1 species
CCUGGUUGAUCCUGCCAGUAGUCAUAUGCUUUGUUCAAGGGCUAAGCCAUGCAUGUCUCAGAGCAAACGGCCUUGCCAGUGGGUCUGUGAAUGGCUCCUUACAUCAGCAGUCAUCUCUGUGAUAAAGUGUUGAUGGAAUCCCUUCAAGGGUUUCCCAGUUGGACAUCUGCCAAAACCUGGUGGCUAAUACACGUUGGACACAGUCUACCACACAGUGGCCUUGCAAACCAUGCGUGAAGCUUUGCCCAUGGUGGAUUGCAACCAGCUGCUCUGAAGACUGGCACCUGGCAAAGGUAGCUGUGUGGCUGACUCAGGCUGGUCCUGUCUGGACACCUGUGCUGGCAAUUCCUGUGGCAUCCCCACAGAAUGCUUGAUCACAAGAACUUCUGCCCUAUCAGCCUUGACUGUGGUGUAGUGGACCACAGUGGCAGUAACGGGUAACGGAGAAUCUGGGUUCGAUUCCGGAGAGGCAGCCUGAGAAACGGCUACCACUACCAAGGUGGGCAGCAGGCGCGCAAAUUGCCCAAUCCAGAAGCAAAUCUGUGAGGCAGCGACGAACUGCAGCAAUUCCACUGGCACCAACCUGUCAGUGGGACUUGCAAUGGAUGCUAUCCAAACACAGUCAUGAGUACCUAUUGGAGGGCAAGUCUGGUGCCAGCAGCUGCGGUAAUUCCAGCUCCAAGGGCGUAUACUAACAUUGCUGCUGUUAAAACACUUGUAGUCUGCCUCAGGGCACAGGUCUGCCAGGUGGCCAGUGUGCGGCUCCCCAUGAGUAGCUCUGCCAAAGUGGGAUCAGAGUUUGUGCAUUGGAUCUCAACCCCUGGCAGUAUGUCCUGUGUCCAACCCAUGAUGUGUGUGAACAGCUCCUGCAAGAAGUCUCCUUCAGUGGAGAUCCAAGCGGUACCACACCCAAUGCUUGUCAGGGCCAGUGGGAGUGCAGCCCAUGUUGCACAAUGCUCCCAGGUCCACCAACGGAGUCCACCAUCGUUGUCACUGUGGAAAACUCAGUGUGCCCAAAGCAUCCAGUUCUUGGCCGGAUGCCCAUCCAUGGAACGUCACAGCAUUGACCAGAUGUGGCAAUUGGAGUUGUGCCAGCCUUGGGGCUCAUCAAGGGAAAUCCGGUGGCUGUUCCCUGUGCAGUGGCAUCAAGGGGUAUGUGUCCCAGCCCCUGGCAACAGACUGGGUCCAUGCCCUGCCCUGCCUGUGGUUUCAGCCAUCUUUCAGAGACGAUGGAACUGCUCAGGGUCAAAGAUAUUGCAGCGCCAGAGGUGAAAUUCUUAGACCGSUGCAAGGAUCAACAGCAGCGAAGGCGCUUGGCAAGUGCAUGUUCAUCGAUCAAGAAUGAAAGCGUGGGGAGCAAAGAUGAUCAGACACCGUCGUAGUCCACAGCUGUAAACCAUGCCAGCUAGGCCUUGAGUGGGCAAUCACUGCACCCACCCAGUGCCAUGCCCCCUUCAACGAGAAAUCCAAGCCUUUGGGUUCAGGGGGAAGUACUGUCGCAAGGCUGAAACUUAAAGGAAUUGACGGAAUGGCACCACAAGGCGYGGAGUAUGCGGYUUAAUUUGACUCAACACGGGGAAAGUUACCAGGUCAGGACGUUGCUGGGAUUGACAGAUUGAGAGCUCUUUCUUGAUCCUUCGGAUGGUGGUGCAUGGCCGCUCCUGAUUGGUGAAGUGAUUUGUCUGGUUGAUUCCGAUAACGAGUGAGAUAUCUGCCUCCCAAUAGCCCCAGUCUCGCAUUUGUAGGGGGCUCACUGGCAUUCAUGAUGCCUUGGAGGGUCAAACCCUCAGAGGUGUCAGCCAGUGGGUUCCUGAGAGCUCUGGGCCAAGCUUCUCUGAGGUGCUGUGCACACUUCCAAGUGCAUGCAUGCUAGAGCCAACAGCAGGUCUGUGAUGCUCCCAGAUGUCCUGGGCCGCACGCGCACUACAUUGACACAGUGAAAGUGUUAUCACUUGCUUGCCAAGGCCUGGCCAGAGGUGGCUGGGAAACCAUUCAAGCCUGUGCUGUACUUGGGAUAGACCCUUGCAACUGUCUGCCUUGAACGAGGAAUGCCUAGUAUGCCCAGGUCAUCAGCCUGGACAGAUUGUGUCCCUGCCAUUUGUACACACCGCCCGUCGUUGCUACCGAUGGCAGCAGAAUAGAGUCAUCAGGAGGCUCAGAGGAUUUCCAUCCUCCAACCAAAAUUGGACAAUGUCCUGCUGCUAGAGGAAGCAAAAGUCGUMACAAGGUUGUUGUAGGUGAACCUGCAGAACAGAUCAA